CUCACUGUGUCACGGACCAUGGAUUAAAUUUACACCAGAAUAUCCCUUUAGUGGAUAAACAAUUGAAUGAAACAUCAGCAAUAGCAGGUGUGGAGAUUAAACAUUGAAAAUUAACAAAUAAACUACCAAACAAAUAGUAAGAAUUUACCUUUAACAUAAUUUGCUCAUUAACUUUUCAACUUUAACACAUUUGAAGCAACUUUGCUCUUCAGACAAACAGCGAUAACGAUGUCAGCGAAUCCUUUCGAGCUGAACUCUUUCAAACAUCGAGGUCCGUCCGUUCACACAUUGUGCUGACAGUUAAUUUGUAACAAAAGGGAACAGCAGCACGGCACAGAGUCAACGCUGAAAACAUUUCAGAAUAAAUCAUCUGCUGAGUAACUGAGCAGGGCUGAAGUUCUGACAGUCUAGUCACGCAGAUUAAAACGGUUACGCCUGAUUUCAGUCAUUUCUUCUAGGUUUUAAAUCAGAGGAACAGAUGGAGCGGGAAGUUUGUUUUAUAUCCAGACUGGUGGGAACAACAUUUUCCAGUAUGUCUGUGCUAUCAGAUAUCACGCUGCAUUUAAUGAGGAAUAAAACGGAAGUGGCUCUGACGGCUGAUCUGACUGGAGCUCUUUAUAUGGGAGUAUAAAAAAAGUAUGUAGGUGUGAAGCAGCUUGUCUUGUAGCGAGGCCCGCGGAUCAAACAAAGCACCUCCAUCUUAGUACCAUUUUGCAUCUUAACAACAGAAUACAGUAGGUGCUUGCUUUCAGGCCCCUGACCCACUGCAAAGAUUCAGUUUUAGGGCCCUACAUGAUGCACAACGUUUUAAAUAUUUCUGCCAAUGCUCUUAAAUUUAGCUUUGUUUUGUAGCAGUCUGAUUGUUUCAGACUUGCUACUUUUCUUUGUUUGUGCUGAUUUUCCCUCGUGACUCAUCGCAGGUGAUUCAUAUCACCUGUGCACAGGUGGGUAGACUGACCCCUGAUUGAGGAGCGGAAGCAGCUGUCACCCUUUUUGUAACGGCUCAAAAAGGAGGUUUUCAUGGAGCACAAGAUGGAUGUAAUCAACCACAGCAGAAAGCUUCCACGGCGGCUGUGGAGGACGAGGACGGACGGCUACUUCCAAUCUGAUGUUUUUGCUAUUUUUCGAUGGUCGACCUCUGACAUUUCUGCUGUCGGCAGAAUAGAGCGUGUCCGUGUGAAACACUUUCGCGAUAACCACAAUUACGAUGAUUAACACCAGAGGUAUCAGACAUCGAUCUGCUUAAUAAACACACGCAGCUGAGCUGCAGAGGAGCA